UACGUAGGUGGCAAGCGUGGUCCGGAAUUAUUGGGCGUAAAGCGCGCGCAGGCGGUCCUUUAAGUCUGAUGUGAAAGCCCACGGCUCAACCGUGGAGGGUCAUUGGAAACUGGGGGACUUGAGUACAGAAGAGAAGAGUGGAAUUCCACGUGUAGCGGUGAAAUGCGUAGAGAUGUGGAGGAACACCAGUGGCGAAGGCGACUCUUUGGUCUGUAACUGACGCUGAGGCGCGAAAGCGUGGGGAGCAAACAGG
rnacentral:rRNA from 1 species